AGGGAUGUAGCUCAGUUGGUAGAGCGACGGUCUCCAAAACCGUAGGUCCACAGUUCGAGCCUGUGUAUCCCUGCCA
rnacentral:tRNA from 1 species